rnacentral:lncRNA from 1 species
ACAAAUAAAGAUGAGAAGGGACAAACAGGAGAAACUGCUAGGGGAAGCGGGUGACUCCCGGGCGCCAUCCAAUGGGACCAGUUCCAUCUGGGCAGGCCAUCCAGAAGCUGUCAUCUCUCAGGGAUAAUGAAGGCCAGCCGCAGCACCUUACAAGGCCAUCCAGGCAGCCAGCCGCUGGAAUCCCAGGGAUUACACAGCCUCUGGAGGGCUUGGAACAGGCUCGGGUCACCUGCUGCAGACACAAGUGUGUGCCUGGGCUGCUUCUGUCUUGUGACUGAGGAAUUUUGAAAUGGCAGUGCUGAGCUCACAAAGAAGAAAAUGUCUCCUUGAUGUCACACAGUUCGCUGCCAAACCAUCCAAGGAGCUGGGAGUGCGGACAUACAUGUCAAGUGAGUGUUCCACUACCCAGCAAAAUCUCCAGCCCCCGCUACCUGGAAAUUAUCAAUGACUGCACGUGCCCAGCUCUUCUGGACCCUCUGAUGUUCUGUCACAUGGGAGCAAAUGGAGAGCUGGGACAUCCUUUGACCUCAGCCCUCAAAGGUUAGGAAGCGGGCCCCUCCUCCCUCCAAGAAUUCCUUUUCUCCAAGGGUGAUUAACUACCUCAGCCAUCCUUCCAGGAGGGCCAAAAAAGCUGUUUUGAAUCUGUACCGGCUCAGAAUAAUCAGUUCCUGGUAUUUCCGGCUUUGUGUGAAGCAGGAUUUCCUGUUUCAAGGCGGGCUGGCUCCCCUGUCCUGAUAUUAGGGAGUCUAUGUAAUAGAUUACUAAUCCAUACUGUUUUUGUUUUUCUAUUCAGGAUAAUUAACUUCUUGCUCAAUCCCUCAGCAUUUGACCAAAAUACCAAGAUAAAAAUGUAGGCCCGUGUUAGUACAAAAGGUCCUGCAUUCAACUGUCCUCCUUAUAUUGCCCAAGAAGUCUUGUGGAAUUCCAAGAAGAAUUCAAGGGGCCAGACCUGGAAUAUGCAUCAAUGAGAAUAAGACACUGACGAAGCUAACGACACUAACGGGGAAUGAGGAUAAUCGACUCCUGUCCUUUGUUUUACUCUUUAACCUAGUAAUAAAUCCCUUUAAAGGCCCGUGGUA